rnacentral:rRNA from 1 species
ACGGGCGCGCUUACCAUGCAGUCGAGCGGAUGAAGGUAGCUUGCUACCGGAUUCAGCGGCGGACGGGUGAGUAAUGCUUAGGAAUCUGCCUAUUAGUGGGGGACAACGUUCCGAAAGGAGCGCUAAUACCGCAUACGUCCUACGGGAGAAAGCAGGGGACCUUUGGGCCUUGCGCUAAUAGAUGAGCCUAAGUCGGAUUAGCUAGUUGGUAGGGUAAAGGCCUACCAAGGCGACGAUCUGUAGCGGGUCUGAGAGGAUGAUCCGCCACACUGGGACUGAGACACGGCCCAGACUCCUACGGGAGGCAGCAGUGGGGAAUAUUGGACAAUGGGGGGAACCCUGAUCCAGCCAUGCCGCGUGUGUGAAGAAGGCCUUUUGGUUGUAAAGCACUUUAAGCGAGGAGGAGGCUACCUAGAUUAAUACUUUAGGAUAGUGGACGUUACUCGCAGAAUAAGCACCGGCUAACUCUGUGCCAGCAGCCGCGGUAAUACAGAGGGUGCGAGCGUUAAUCGGAUUUACUGGGCGUAAAGCGUGCGUAGGCGGCCAAUUAAGUCAAAUGUGAAAUCCCCGAGCUUAACUUGGGAAUUGCAUUCGAUACUGGUUGGCUAGAGUAUGGGAGAGGAUGGUAGAAUUCCAGGUGUAGCGGUGAAAUGCGUAGAGAUCUGGAGGAAUACCGAUGGCGAAGGCAGCCAUCUGGCCUAAUACUGACGCUGAGGUACGAAAGCAUGGGGAGCAAACAGGAUUAGAUACCCUGGUAGUCCAUGCCGUAAACGAUGUCUACUAGCCGUUGGGGCCCUUGAGGCUUUAGUGGCGCAGCUAACGCGAUAAGUAGACCGCCUGGGGAGUACGGUCGCAAGACUAAAACUCAAAUGAAUUGACGGGGGCCCGCACAAGCGGUGGAACAUGUGGGUUAAUUCGAUGCAACCCGAAAAACCUUACCUGGGCUUGACUAACCAGAAAUUUCCCAAGAAGGGUUGGGGCCUCCGGAACUCUAAAAAGGGGGGCAGGGGGUCUCAAC